rnacentral:rRNA from 1 species
UGGGUCCUACGGGGGGCAGCAGUGAGGAAUAUUGGUCAAUGGACGGAAGUCUGAACCAGCCAUGCCGCGUGCAGGAAGACGGCUCUAUGAGUUGUAAACUGCUUUUGUACAAGGGUAAACCUGAAUACGUGUAUUCAGCUGAAAGUACUGUACGAAUAAGGAUCGGCUAACUCCGUGCCAGCAGCCGCGGUAAUACGUAGGGAGCAAGCGUUAUCCGGAUUUAUUGGGUGUAAAGGGUGCGUAGACGGGAAAUUAAGUUAGUUGUGAAAUCCCUCGGCUCAACUGAGGAACUGCAACUAAAACUG